CUUGCAGUCGUUGCUUAUGGUCGUCUAAUUCAGUUUUUAAAGCUGUUACCUUCUCUUCACUUUGUUUUUUGAUUUCAUCUAUUUCUUUAUUUUUCUUAAGAGAAGUUUUUGUAACAGUUCUUCCAUAACAUCGAACUCUUCCUGGAUUCUCUUUACCAAAAACUUUUUGAAAUGCAUUAGUAGGAGUUUCUCCAGCUUCUUGGAGAUCAU
rnacentral:lncRNA from 1 species